rnacentral:misc_RNA from 1 species
GGCAAAUCUAACAUUACCAGUGAUGUCAAAUUGCAAAUAGAUGACGAAAUUUCUUCAGUAAGAUUAUUAUGGGAUAUGAAGAAGUAUUUUAUGGAAUUUGGUGGUACAUGUAGGGAACCUUGAAGCAAAUUGGACCGUAAAUCAAUAGUAAGUACAGUCUGAUGUGGAAUUGAAUCUACACUUAUCAACAUAAUAUGUGAUAUGUUAAGAUGUUCCAAUGAAACCAUCCGGUUAGACCAUUCCCCAAUCAGGAAUUCUUCCUUGAAUCUUAUUGUUCGAAAGAUCUAACUUCCCAAGCUGCUUUGAGGAUCUUAGAAACUCCAAUUCUUUCACUUCACAUGAAGCUAAUUCUCACGAAUAAAGUGAUUCGGACCAAGUAAAAUUAGCUUUCUUCUCAUUGAUCAAUGAUAUAUCACUAUAGGAAAGACUAAGACUCAAAAGUUGUUAGGUUUGAAAAUAAGUUUAU